AUUGAACGCUGGCGGCAGGCCUAACACAUGCAAGUCGAACGAGUGGCGGACGGGUGAGUAACGUCUGGGAAACUGCCCGAAGGAGGGGGACAACUACUGGAAACGGUAGCUAUUACCGCAUAUCAUCGUAUGCGCCCAGCUGGGAUUAGCUAGUAGGUGGGGUCACGACUCACCUAGGCGACGAUCCCUAGCUGGUCUGAGAGGAUGACCGUCCCCACUAGAGCUGAUACGCAGUCCAGGAUCCUACGGGAUGCCGCAGAUGAGGAUAUUGCGCACGAGGCGCAAGCCUGAUGCAACCGUGCCACGGGUAUGGCGAAGGCCUUCGGGUUGUGAUGUACUUUCAGGGAGGAGGCGUUACUCGCAGAAGAAGCACCGGCUAACUCCGUGCCAGCAGCCGCGGUAAUAC
rnacentral:rRNA from 1 species